AGCAGCCGCGGUAAUUCCAGCUCCAAUAGCGUAUAUUAAAGUUGUUGCAGUUAAAAAGCUCGUAGUUGAAUUUCGGGAUCAAUACAUCGGUCGUGCCUUGGUACGUACUGGUGUCAUUGGUUUCUCCUUUCUGACGAACCAUGAUGUCAUUAAUUUGGUGUUAUGGGAAGUUAGGACUGUUACUUUGAAAAAAUUAGAGUGUUUAAAGCAGGCUUUAGCUUAAAUACAUCAGCAUGGAAUAAUGAAAUAGGACGUUUGAUUCUAUUUUGUUGGUUUCUAGGAUUCGACGUAAUGAUUAAUAGGGACAGUUGGGGGCAUUAGUAUUCAAUUGUCAGAGGUGAAAUUCUUGGAUUUAUUGAAGACUAACUACUGCGAAAGCAUUUGCCAAGGAUGUUUCAUUAAUCAAGAACGAAAGUUAGGGGAUCGAAGACGA
rnacentral:rRNA from 1 species